rnacentral:lncRNA from 1 species
AAAAAAAGCUUCAUCUUUUGUCUUUCAAAUGCCAUAUAAACAAAAUUUUUGUGAACCAUACAGGGCGAGCAAUAAUACAUUUUCUCCAUGAAGGUCCGAAAAAUUGACAAAAAAAAAUCACAUUUUAUUUAAUAACUUUUUAAGGGUGGCACUUGGAAAUUUCAAACUUUCAACAUUUAUAAUACUUUUUAAGGGCUUUUUUCUGAUGCAGUCUACAGUCAUCUACGUAGAGUAGUUUUUGCUCUACACCUUUUUUUAACUUUGACGCUUAAUACUGGCAUACCUAUGUAACGUACGAAGACCAUUUUUACCUUCAGACACGCGGAAUUUAUCUGGCUAUAAUCCACUAAAUACUGUUUUGUUUCAAAUAUCACCAUUUUUCAAGAAAAUGCAAUUUUCCAUAAAAAGUCCAAAAAAUCGGUCAGCUGAAUAUUGGUACCCCCCCGGUACCGGCUCUCAAGGUACAAUAAUCCGGGUGGUCUAGCACUCAACAAGCACGUCACCCAGGCAAUGAAACCUGCGCUGUUCGCCCGUGUCCGCUUAAAAUAAGACCCUUUUUAUAAUCGAAAUUUAAUUACUAAAACCGAUUGGAAUCGGUCCAGAAUUGAUGUUAAACUGUUCCUAAGGCUUUAUACUAUUUUUCCAUGUACAAAUCAUAAGGUAAAAACCUUUUUUUAUACCCUAAAACAUCGUCUGAAAAUGGUCGAUUUUGACGUUUACGGGCGAUUUUAAUGCAGACUUUUACCGCAGUUUUGAUGACAUCAGUGACAUGACGUCAACGUGAACGAAUCGUCUCGGUCUUGCUUUUUAUUUUCGUUGAUAAAAUACUUAAAUUAGCUCAGAAUUUCCCGAAAUCGGUAUGGAAUAAUUCUAGAGACUCUGGAGAAUCCGAUUAUGUGCAUAUCUUUUACCAAGUCGCCUUCCUUUAGCUGUGAUCAUUCGACAAAGUUGUAAAGUUUUAGAAUUUACCGUGUUUUCAUGCGACGGAAGGACUCAUACAUGGCAUUUUGGGUGCGGGAGUGAAAGUUUAAUUACUAUUUAUUUAUUUUAACACAAAAUCUAACUCUGGACUGUGGAUCAUUGUUAUUAUUUGAAUUGUGAAGAAAACGCAAGCGUUAAAGGUAGGCCUUAAUGUAAUAUGAGGAGCUUCAAUGACAACCUAACCUCUACAUGUAUUAUGUAAAUAAAUAACAAGACCAAAAAGGAGAAAAUAUUGAACUUAUUAGUUAGAAUAAGGUCCAAAAUGUGAAAGAUUGGCAAAUUUCCGCUUAACUAAACGCUGUAAAUGUUAUAUUACACCUUGCAUAUAAGCAUAUAAUCAGUUUUCACCCAAGAGGUGUGUAACCUUAAAAGAGUAAGGAAAUUCAACUACAGUUAUGUGUCCCUAGUCAAAUAUGAAUAACAAAUAGAUAUCUGUAUGGUCUAACAAUUAACGCCCAUGCAAGGGUAUCUUAAUGGUUUUGCUCAUGACUGGCAGCAGGCCACUUAGUCUGAAUGCUCAGGUCAGCGAGAUGCCAGGCUUUAAAACAUCUAAGAGGAUAAUCGAAGCAGUAGAUAGCAUCCAGUUGUGGCACUAUCGAAGGGGAGGAAUGCAGAUUCUGGCAGCUAGAUGUUUUAAGUGUUGAGUUGAUGAUAAGGUGGAAGAUGGUGGUGAAAAGAAGCAGAAAAAGCCAGUCCAAAACUGGAGAGACUUUUUUUUAUCUUAUUGUUGUUGUUCUAUAUUCUAUAUUAUUUAGAUACCAAAGAUAGUUUCCUUACAGAGAAGUAUUUAUAUAUCAUAUAGUUUAGUACAUAUUAAACAUCAUAUUAGUGAUUACUCCACACACAAAAUUGUACAAUUUUCAUUUUACGAGAAAUAGAGAACAUAUAUAUACAAAUUUUUAUAGGAUACACAAGGUUAAGUGUUGGGUUUCCUUCUUUGCUCCCAAACUCUAUAAUGCUCUCCCUGCUACCAUUAAACUGUUACCUACCAAGUUUUUUACUGCAAUAUAAAUUUACUAUAAAACAAUAUCUAUUGAAAAAAUGCUUUUUCUCAAUACAAGAAUUUCUAAAUGAUGAUUUCUCAUAUAUGUAAUUAUAAUAUAAAACUUUUAGGCUUUAAAUCCUUUGAUUAAUAAUAAUAUUAAGAAGUGUAAAGAUUUUCUCUGCGACAUAUGUGAGCACCUUUGUGUAUAUGGCAUUAACAAAUUAUGUUUAUGUUUAAAUUAGGUGU